CAUCUCCAAUGCGACCCCCCUCCAAAAUGAGAUCACCCCUCUCUGAGUAAUAAUAAUGGUAUGCAUGACUAGAGUCACUCAAGCUCCACCUUGAAGAUAAAAAAUAAUAUAAAAUGACCCAAGAGAGAGGGGGAUAUUGGGGAAGAUACCAUCGUGGAUGAGUCAAGGAAGAUAACAUCAACUGACUCCUGGGACCGGUCGAUGGGCUGUACCUCUCUUCCCCCCCCAUAGGGACGCCUGUGGGUAUACUCUACCGGCAGGCUUAUGCUGAUUGUGUGACAACCAGUUUGGGACCAGGACCCAUGGAGCAGCCGUUAGUACUUCUGAAUACCUCAGACACUGACUCUCCACUUGGGGUCUCCUGAGCUUAAGCUUAAGCAGGCGGGAGAAGGUGGUAAAGGAAAAGAACCAUCUGCACAGCUGAAGAACCAGGAGGAAGUUCUGAGUAAACCCAGGUUUCCAUUUAAGAUUCACCAACUUACACCCUUAACAGAACAAAAUAAAGGCCUGAGAGAGACAUCAUCACAAUUUUUAAAAAAAAUGCAGGGCUCAAAGGCCAUUUGCAGAGGGAACGUCAGAGAACAGAAGCUCAGCUAUAUAAUAAUUAUUUCAUUGUAGAAAGGAAGCUGUUUUAACAGCAGCAUUUUUGGAAGAAAAAGAUAUGUU
rnacentral:lncRNA from 1 species